CCUACGGGAGACAGCAGUGAGGAAUAUUGGUCAAUGGACGCAAGUCUGAACCAGCCAUGCCGCGUGCGGGAAGAAGGCCCUAUGAGUUGUAAACUGCUUUUGUACGGGGGUAAACGCCGAUACGUGUAUCUGUCUGCAAGUAUCGUACGAAUAAGGAUCGGCUAAUUCCGUGCCAGCAGCCGCGGUAAUCCGGAGGUGUCAAGCGUUAUCCGGAUUUAUUGGGUUUAAAGGGUGCGUAGGCGGUCGGAUAAGUUAGAGGUGAAAUCCCGGGGCUCAACCCCGGAAGUGCAUCUGAAACUGGUCGGCGAGAGAGUAGGAGGGGCAGGCGGAAUGUAUGGUGUAGCGGUGAAAUGCUUAGAGAUCA
rnacentral:rRNA from 1 species